CUGGCGGCGUGCCUAACACAUGCAAGUCGAACGAGAAAGCGGGGGCAACUCCGCGAGUAAAGUGGCGACCGGGUGAGUAACACGUGACUAACCUGCCCUCGAGCGGGGGAUAACCCCGGGAAACCGGGGCUAAUACCGCAUAACAUCUUCGAUAUGAAAGUAUUGAGGAUCAAAGGAGCAAUUCACUUGAGGAGGGGGUCGCGGCCGAUUAGCUAGUUGGCGGGGUAACGGCCCACCAAGGCUGAGAUCGGUAGCCGGCCUGAGAGGGCGCACGGCCACACUGGGACUGAAACACGGUCCAGACUCCUACGGGAGGCAGCAGUGGGGAAUUUUGCGCAAUGGGGGGAACCCUGACGCAGCAACGCCGCGUGGAGGAUGAAGUCCCUUGGGACGUAAACUCCUUUCGACCGGGAAGAUAAUGACGGUACCGGAAGAAGAAGCACCGGCUAACUCUGUGCCAGCAGCCGCGGUAAUACAGAGGGUGCGAGCGUNGUUCGGAA
rnacentral:rRNA from 1 species